rnacentral:rRNA from 1 species
AGCGAACGCUAGCGGCGGGCUUAACACAUGCAAGUCGAGCGCUCUACUUCGGUAGGGAGCGGCGAACGGGUGAGUAACACGUAGGUUAUCUACCCUUUGGUGGGGAAUAACCCAGGGAAACUUGGGCUAAUACCGCAUACGGCCUUCGGGUCAAAGGCUUCGGCCGCCAGAGGAUGAGCCUGCGUCCCAUUACCUAGUUGGUAGGGUAACGGCCUACCAAGGGGACGAUGGGUAGCUGGUCUGAGAGGAUGAUCAGCCACACUGGGACUGAGACACGGCCCAGACUCC